UGCUGCUUGUUUCAUUUCUAACGCUUUGCAACUGACAAAUGGAACCGCUUGACCUCUAUUUGCUGGCUCAAUGGUUUCUCCAAGAAUUCUGAAUGUGCUACAAACGAAAGCGGUGAGCUUCAACAUGUGGCUGUUCGUCUUCUCUGCCUUCUACCUUGUCUGAAAGAAAUUGCACAGAUAUGUGUACGUAUUCCACGUGAUUGUAAGAGAAGAGGUAAAAUUGAUCUCUAAGAUGUGGCUAUGGUUUUGCCUCAAAAUCUGUAGAUAUAAUACGGAUUCCAGAUUGUGGGAAUUGGUUGGACCUCCAGAUUGGACAAGCGGUAUGUUAUCCUCUGUCUCAUCCUAUCUUCAAUGAUGUAUUUGAUUCUGUUUUCUGCCAUACAUUCAUGCUCUUGUUUCAUUCAUAUUUGGUUCCCUUUAAAAUUUGCCUACCAUGUGUUUGCCAAUAUGUCUAAACCAUAAAAAAUUUCAUAAUAGGGCAAAAUGUAAUAAAUUAGCAUUAACCGUAACUGGUAAUCGCCACAAGAAAAUUCCAUUGGUUAGUAAUAUAGUUAUCCGCAUUGAUCCUCACUACACAUCACUUAUUAUUGGAAUUUUUUUGGGGGCUGUUUCUUGCUUUUUUCUGUGGCUUAAUUUUGCUGAAGAUGUUGUAAGAGUACAUUGAUAUUAAUAAUAAUUUGCCAGCACUGUCUUCAGAAGUUGUGCAUCAUGUUGUUGAAAUCUUGAAGUUUUUCAAUACAAGGACUUGUCAGCUUGUUCUUGGUACUGGUGCCUUGCAGGUGGCCGGUUUGAAAUCCAUUACUUCAAAGCACUUGGCAUUGGCAAGUCAGGUUACCAAUUCUAUGGAUGGUAUUAUUCCUGGUAGGUGACGAGACACAAAAAUUCUGCUAUUGCCAUAGAGUUGUUUCAUGUUGUCUUAUGUGAAUGUUUGUAAAUAUGCUAUCACAAUAUAUUCACUUAACUACUUUUAAGUUUUAACAUUAAAUAUAGUUCGUCCAUGUGACAAGUUGCAGAUUUUAUUUUCUCAUUUCCAACUUUUUCUGAAUUCUAGUCUUGUAAUUGUUAGUUAUUUUCAAGUGUCUUGCUAUAAUCCUAUCAAAUUUGGACAUAGUCAUUAUGGUAGAACAAGUUUAUGGUUGGUUUUGCUUGUCAUUGAUGGAUUUGAAAUUGGAUAUUCUUUCAUAGAGUUCUUAAUGAUUUCUAUUUAUGGUUGAUAUUUUCAUCUUUCUAGUACUCGCAUAUACUUGGCCUCAAUCCUUUCUUUCUUUUUAGUUAUUUUAUUUAUUUUAUUUGAAAAUUUUUAAAAUGCAUCUCAAUAUUAGAAGAACAAUUUAACAUCAUUCAAGAUGCCAUGCAAUUUUGGCAAAAAAAAAAAA